GGCUCAGAUUGAACGCUGGCGGCAUGCCUAACACAUGCAAGUCGAACGGCAGCACGGGAGCUUGCCCCUGGUGGCGAGUGGCGGACGGGUGAGUAAUGCAUAGGAAUCUGCCCAGUAGGCGGGGGACAACGUUGGGGAAACUCAAGCUAAUACCGCAUACGCCCGUACGGGGAAAGGCGGGGACCUUCGGGCCUCGCACUAUUGGAUGAGCCUAUGUCAGAUUAGCUUGUUGGUGGGGUAAAGGCCUACCAAGGCGACGAUCUGUAGCUGGUCUGAGAGGACGAUCAGCCACACUGGGACUGACACACGGCCCAGACUCCUACGGGAGGCAGCAGGUGGGGAAUCUUGCGCAAUGGGGGAAACCCUGACGCAGCAACGCCGCGUGGGUGAUGAAGGCCCUUGGGUCGUAAAGCCCUGUCUGGAGGAAAGAAUCCCGCUCUCGCUAAUACCGGGAGUGGAUGACGGUACCUCUGAAGGAAGCACCGGCUAACUCCGUG
rnacentral:rRNA from 1 species